CACGAUCUCAUUUCAUAGUCCCCAUGACUCUGCAAGGGACAUCCUAUCUCUGCCAAUCUCACAGGGGGGGAGACCGGAGCCCGAGCACAGAAGAGAGCCACCCGGCCCUCACCCGUCUUUCUGCUGAGCCCGGGAGCAGCCCUGAGCUGAGCGGGACAUCCCAGACGGAGACGCCCCCGGAGCAGAUAAGGGAUUAGAGGCGGAUCUAGCACCUGGUCCUGCUGAGGGCUUCCGAGGCCUCAGGGGGAUCAGGCAAAGGCCUGGCGAGUUGGGACAGGGUUUUUCAAGAGAUCGUUAAUUAGCACUCCACAGACAAGGGCGCCAUGGCCACCAGCACCUGGGCACAGGAGACAUCCAGGUACAGCAGACGCUCUCGAGUGUCCCUGCUCACAAGGAAGAACCAGCCUAGGAGGGAGACCGAGAAACACUGUGGGAGGUUACACACCAGAGGGAUGAUGCUCACAGCACCUGCCACGUCCUGAGUCCCUCCCGUGUGUCCUGUGCUGGAGCCUCUCGCGCAUCAUCUCUACUCCUCGCAGUGGAGUCCCCCGCACAGAUGGGACAAAUGAAGCUCAACGGCUUUGGGAGUCACAGAAGUUAAAAGUUCCCAGAAAUCACACCCUAGAACUAUGUCAAUAUUAUGAUGAAAUUGCUACCAUUUCUGUUUUACAAUGACCCCAAAAGCAGCACUUCUGGAACCAUCUGUGGAGAAGGACUGGUUUUUAAAAAUUUCUAAUCUGUCACAGACCAAAACUUUUAUAAAAUACAAGAAAAAUGAGUUACUAGGAAAAUAAAAUGAAAAAAAUUACAAGCCUAUUUCUUUAUUAUGAGACUCAAGACAUAAAAUUACUCUAUCAAAUUGCUCAUAAGUUCUCAACCCUUAAUUUCUGCAUCCACUUUGAUAGAGAGGAACUUGUCCAGGGUUCUCUGUCGCAGGCACAGAUCUAGGACAAACGCAUAUUCUCCUCGUAAGAGCUAAGUGCUCUCAGACAAAUCCCAUUUUGGAGAUGAGGACUCUGUUGCUCAGAGAAGGUAAGUGGCCUGCCCAAGAUCACACAGCUGGUGAGUGGCAGGGCUGGGGUUCAGACCUGGGGCUGUGUGCCUUGUUGCAUUCAACCAUCUGGCAAGUGCAGCCCCGUCGGCCCCUUAGCCUUGUCCCUCCUCUUAACACAAGGUCAAGAGCCCUGCAGACGAGGAAAUGGAGCUGACGUAAGAGGGGAACUUCCUUGCUCAGGGUCUCGCUGCAAGGGGGCGGCAGAGGCAGCCAGUCUCCAGGUCUGCUUGACACCAGCCUGUGCUCAGUGUUGCCACUCCACCGGGCUCUGUUUGUGCGGAGGACUUCCAGGCCAAGCAGGGCAAGGGAAGGAGGGGCAGGAAGAGGCAGGGGACUCACCAAGUGCUGGCAAUUACACGGUGCUUUGUCAUUCUUAAUUAGCUCAGCAGCUCCAUAGCCAGAGACCUCCCUCUGUGGAUGCCCAGACUGAGGAGGAGACAGCUGCUGGUCCUCUCCAGGAGGGCAGUCUGGGCUGGUGGGGGCCCUCAGGGCCACCUCCUCCAGCCUCCACAGUUGCUGUUGCUUCUCCAACUGCGGAGGGUCACCCGCUUGCUGGGCACACUCAGAGAACUGGCGGACAGAACUUAA
rnacentral:lncRNA from 1 species